rnacentral:lncRNA from 1 species
ACGGUGGUGAUCUUUCUUGAGAGAGAUUCAAAGGGAGGAGUCCAUUGCGCAUACUGCUUGAUCAUGAUCUGCACAAAGAAGGUGUUGCUCAUUUGAUCUUGAAGGCUUGGCAUCCUAUGAAGACUGUUGCAUUUGAUUGAUGGCUUGGCAACCUGUGAAGUCUGUUGUAAUAGGCUUGGCAUCUUGUGAAGAGUGUUGGUUACACGUUGAGGAUUGUUCAACGUGGGUGUAGAUUGUAGAAGAGGGGAUUCUUGUUGCAAUUAUUGUUUUUGUGUGUGCAGCUAUAUUUGGUUUUGGGUUAGAGAGGGGAUUUAUAUUUUUGCGUGGUGCUUCUAUAAACUCCUUGUAAAAACCGCAACCAUUAUAGUGCAUUUGCUUCCUGGGUUGGAAGGACACUGGAUGUAGGCAUUGUUGGCCGAACCAGUAUAAAAACCAGUGUUUUUUUUUCUCUAUCCUUGCACUCUUUAUUUCCAAUCGACUUUAUUUGUUUAGCAGUCAACUGCGUUUUUCUGCUGCAUUGAAUUUUCAUUACAUGCAUUUCAAGGAAAGAUUAAAAAGAUUCGAAUUUUCAUAUCAAGAUUGCGAAAAGAAUUUGUUUUUGAACUAAGACCAAUUCACCCCCCUUCUUGGUGUAAAAUGAAGCCUACUUGUUUCUUAACAUUGAUGAAUUAUGUAUGUGUGAUAGCCAGAGGUUGUUAUACAUUUAUAUUCAACAAUUAGUUCUCCCC